UACGGGGGGAGCAAGCGUUGUUCGGAUUUACUGGGCGUAAAGGGCGCGUAGGCGGCCACCGCAAGUCGAGUGUGAAAGCCCCGGGCUUAACUUGGGAAUUGCGCUCGAAACUACGUGGCUGGAGUGUGGCAGAGGAAGGUGGAAUUCCACGUGUAGCGGUGUAAUGCGUAGAGAUGUGGAGGAACACCAAUGGCGAAGGCAGCCUUCUGGGCCAACACUGACGCUCAUGCACGAAAGCGUGGGGAGCAAACAGG
rnacentral:rRNA from 1 species